rnacentral:rRNA from 1 species
AGCGAACGCUGGCGGCAGGCCUAACACAUGCAAGUCGAACGAACCUUUCGGGGUUAGUGGCGGACGGGUGAGUAACACGUGGGAACGUGCCUUUAGGUUGGGAAUAAUUCAGGGAACUUUGUGCUAAUACCGAUGGUGCCCUCCGGGGGAAAGAUUUAUCGCCUUUAGAGCGGCCCGCGUCUGAUUAGCUAGUUGGUUGAGGUAAUGGCUCACCAAGGCGACGAUCAGUAGCUGGUCUGAGAGGAUGAUCAGCCACAUUGGGACUGAGACACGGCCCAAACUCCUACGGGAGGCAGCAGUGGGGAAUCUUGCGCAAUGGGCGAAAGCCUGACGCAGCCAUGCCGCGUGAAUGAUGAAGGUCUUAGGAUUGUAAAAUUCUUUCACCGGGGACGAUAAUGACGGUACCCGGAGAAGAAGCCCCGGCUAACUUCGUG